CCCCGCACCGCGCCUGACCCCGCAGCCCCGCGGGCCGCUCCCCCACUCCAAAGCUGCUAUUUACGGGGCUUUCGCGUUUUCUUGCAAAUCAAGACCAAAAAAAAAAAAAAAAAAAAAAGAGAGAGAGAGAGGGAGAGAGAGAGAAAAGAAAAGCAAAAAAGAUGUAGAGAGCAAAACAAUGCGGGAGAUCUGGGCUGCAGCGGCAGAGCGGCUCCGGGAGCUGCUGGCCGCCCGCUCCGCACGGGCACGGCAGGGACAGGGAUAGGGCGGGGGGCACGGCCGCCCGCAGCCCUGAGUGCCGCCGCGGGAGCCACAGCUGUGGACUGCUGUACAUGUGGCUCUUCAUUCCCUUGUGAAAUCCACGAGAGGACUGCUGUCUUGUCACACAUUGGAUCCAUUGCUUUCAUGAGAUAUUUCCUCAGUGGGAAAAACAAAGAAUAAAUGCUUGGAGCACUGACGGAGGAUGGGAUGAGAAUCCUUUAAAAAAAAAAAAAAGCCAAAACUGCAACAACUGAGAAAGGACAGGCAAG
ensembl:lncRNA